rnacentral:rRNA from 1 species
AGGACGAACGCUGGCGGCGUGCUUAACACAUGCAAGUCGAACGGAAAGGCCCUUCGGGGUACUCGAGUGGCGAACGGGUGAGUAACACGUGAGCAACCUGCCCUUAGCUCCGGGAUAGCUCCGGGAAACCGGAAUUAAUACCGGAUACGACCACGGCCGACAUCUGCUGUGGUGGAAAGGAUUCCGGCUAAGGAUGGGCUCGCGGCCUAUCAGCUAGUUGGUGGGGUAAUGGCCCACCAAGGCGACGACGGGUAGCCGGCCUGAGAGGGCGACCGGCCACACUGGGACUGAGACACGGCCCAGACUCCUACGGGAGGCAGCAGUGGGGAAUAUUGCGCAAUGGGCGAAAGCCUGACGCAGCGACGCCGCGUGGGGAUGAAGGCCUUCGGGUUGUAAACCCCUUUCAGCAGGGACGAAGCGAAAGUGACGGUACCUGCAGAAGAAGCGCCGGCUAACUACGUGCCAGCAGCCGC